rnacentral:rRNA from 1 species
UACGAAGGGGGCUAGCGUUGCCGUCGAAUUCAUCGUGGCGUAAAGGGCGCGUAGGCGGGAUGGCAAGUCGGUCGUGAAAUCCUUCGGCUCAACCGAAGAACGUCGGCCGAUACUGCCGUUCUUGAGGGAUGCAGAGGAGAUUGGAAUUCCCGGUGUAGCGGUGAAAUGUGUAGAGAUCGGGAGGAACACCGGUGGCGAAGGCGGGUCUCUGGGCAUCUCCUGACGCUGAGGCGCGAAAGCGUGGGGAGCAAACG